GGAUGGGUCAAAAACAAUAUACAUUUCAUGGGGUAUAAUGAAAAGAAAAUGGCAUACAAGUCCUAAAUUCCUUUUUCUAAUUGUAGAACAUCAAUAUCUAAAUUUAUAUUUUUAUUUGCAUGAUCUUGACAGAUUCUUUGAGACUCAAUCUAAAUGCCAAUUUUAUUUCCGCUACUGAAAAUAAUUAGAAGUAAAAACCAGACAUUGGCAUUUGUAAGUUUAAGACUAUAAUUAUUACUAAAGAUAAAACAGAUCAAUAAAAGUAUGUAAGUGGUUUAAAAAAUUGCACCAUUUUGACAAAUAAAUAAGUUUAUUCUGAAGUCUAAUAUUUUAUCAAAGUUUCUUCAGGGUUUACAUCUCUCUGUAAACCUAGGGUAUAGUACCACAUCUCUUAUAUGGUCUAUUUUGAGCAACCAACAAAUAAAUCUCUCCAAUCCUAGUCCAUAACCACCAUGAGGACAGGUUCCAUACUUUCUCUGAAAUAAAACAAAUCCUGUACUUUAGAAGCUGUUGAAAUAAAACCAGACACAAUUGUAAACAGAUUUGUGCAAAGUUAUCAACUUGUGCUAUGUUUUAAGUGCUUAAUCAUUUUAAUAUGCUUUUAACUUUUAUAUGUCUUCUAU
rnacentral:lncRNA from 1 species